rnacentral:rRNA from 1 species
AUGGUUAAGUGACUAAGCGUACACGGUGGAUGCCUAGGCAAUCAGAGGCGAAGAAGGACGUGCUAAUCUGCGAAAAGCUUGGAUGAGUUGAUAAGAAGCGUUUAAUCCAAGAUAUCCGAAUGGGGAAACCCAGUAGAUGAAGAAUCUACUAUCGUUAUUUGAAUACAUAGAAUAACGAGGCAAACCGGGAGAACUGAAACAUCUAAGUACCCCGAGGAAAAGAAAUCAACCGAGAUUCCGUGAGUAGCGGCGAGCGAAAGUGGAAGAGCCAGUGAGUAAUAGCAGUAAAAUUAAGAGAAUGAGCUGGGAAGCUCAACCGUAGGGGGUGAUAGUCCCGUAUCUGAAAAUUUUAUUGUGGUACUAAGCUAA